GUGGGGAAUAUUGCACAAUGGGCGGAAGCCUGAUGCAGCAACGCCGCGUGCGGGAUGACGGCCUUCGGGUUGUAAACCGCUUUCGCCUGUGACGAAGCGUGAGUGACGGUAAUGGGUAAAGAAGCACCGGCUAACUACGUGCCAGCAGCCGCGGUGAUACGUAGGGUGCGAGCGUUGUCCGGAUUUAUUGGGCGUAAAGGGCUCGUAGGUGGUUGAUCGCGUCGGAAGUGUAAUCUUGGGGCUUAACCCUGAGCGUGCUUUCGAUACGGGUUGACUUGAGGAAGGUAGGGGAGAAUGGAAUUCCUGGUGGAGCGGUGGAAUGCGCAGAUAUCAGGAGGAACACCAGUGGCGAAGGCGGUUCUCUGGGCCUUUCCUGACGCUGAGGAGCGAAAGCGUGGGGAGCGA
rnacentral:rRNA from 1 species